AAUGAAUGUUGUUAUCACUUUCUGCUGGUUUGAAGUUUUUUAAUUGUGCCUUUAAACAAAAUAUUUCAUUAUCAAUGUUUAACACAUGUAUUUAACUUCUUUUAUGGUGAAUAUGUGUUUACAGAAUCUGUAUCAUUUUGUGAAUUUGUUCAAGGAAAUAACUAUCAUUGAAGAUAUAGAAGACCAAAAUGGAAAUUCCAUUUAUUUUUAGUUUCUCAUCUUGGUAAUCCAGUUUAGGGUUAAAGAGUUAUUGCCCUUGGCAUUCUAACAAUUGUAAUUUAUUUAAAGUUAUUUAAAGGAUGUCUCAGUCAACAUUUGCACAUUCAUCAUACAAAAGAUAAAUAUGUCAUACUGGAAGUUUUAAAGAAAGAUUUUUAGAACUUUGAAGUUAUUUAUAAGAAAUUAUUGUUCCGUGUCUUAUAAUGUAAUUGAAAAAUAUCUUGUAUUAUUUUAAUUUUAGUUUCUUGUGUACAAUUUGGAAAUUAGUAUGGCGUUCAUUAUCACUGAACUAGUAUAUAUUUGUUUAGGGGCCAGCUGAAGGACGCCUACGGGUGCGGAAAUUUCUCGCUACAUUGAAGACCUGUUGGUGACCUUCUGCUGUUGUUUUUUUCAAUGGUCGGGUUGUUGUCUCUUUGGCACAUUCCCCAUUUCCAUUCUCAAUUUUAUGUAUUAAGUAAAAAUAAAGCAUUGUGCAACACAAACCAUGUUGUAGAAAACUACCUCAAACAAAGUUCGUGUACAUCACUAUUUUUUUAUACUUCCAAAGUUUUUACAAUUCACAUACACAUUUACUUGAAACAUUAUUGUAAAGGUAAUUAAGCUAUAUUUGAAUUUUACUUUGGAAAUAAUAACAACAUUUUUUCUUGUAUCUAAUGAUUGGAACAACUAUUGUUAAAUAUUGAAUUAGAUUAGAAUUGAUAUAUUCAAAGAUAAAAAUCUUAUGAAUAAAAUAUUUAACAAAAUUAUUCAAAAUAUUUCUGGAGAAAAGUUUCCUAAACAACUUUAAUACACAGUUUGGGUAAAAAAA
rnacentral:lncRNA from 1 species